AUUGAACGCUGGCGGCAGGCUUAACACAUGCAAGUCGAGCGGGGGAAGGUAGCUUGCUACCGGACCUAGCGGCGGACGGGUGAGUAAUGCUUAGGAAUCUGCCUAUUAGUGGGGGACAACAUCUCGAAAGGGAUGCUAAUACCGCAUACGUCCUACGGGAGAAAGCAGGGGAUCUUCGGACCUUGCGCUAAUAGAUGAGCCUAAGUCGGAUUAGCUAGUUGGUGGGGUAAAGGCCUACCAAGGCGACGAUCUGUAGCGGGUCUGAGAGGAUGAUCCGCCACGCUGGGACUGAGACACGGCCCAGAGUCCUACGGGGGGCAGCAGUGGGGAAUAUUGGACCAUGGGGAACCCUGAUCCAGCCAUGCCGCGUGUGUGAAGAAGGCCUUAUGGUUGUAAAGCACUUUAAGCGAGGAGGAGGCUACUCUAGUUAAUACCUAGGGAUAGUGGACGUUACUCGCAGAAUAAGCACCGGCUAACUCUGUGCCAGCAGCCGCAGUAA
rnacentral:rRNA from 1 species